UGGGGAAUUUUGGACAAUGGGCGAAAGCCUGAUCCAGCAAUGCCGCGUGUGAAGAAGGCCUUCGGGUUGUAAAGCACUUUUGUCCGGAAAGAAAUCCUUGGCUCUAAUACAGUCGGGGGAUGACGGUACCGGAAGAAUAAGCACCGGCUAACUACGUGCCAGCAGCCGCGGUAAUACGUAGGGUGCAAGCGUUAAUCGGAAUUACUGGGCGUAAAGCGUGCGCAGGCGGUUUGCUAAGACCGAUGUGAAAUCCCCGGGCUCAACCUGGGAACUGCAUUGGUGACUGGCAGGCUAGAGUAUGGCAGAGGGGGGUAGAAUUCCACGUGUAGCAGUGAAAUGCGUAGAGAUGUGGAGGAAUACCGAUGGCGAAGGCAGCCCCCUGGGCCAAUACUGACGCUCAUGCACGAAAGCGUGGGGAGCAAACAGGAUUAGAUACCCUGGUAGUCCACGCCCUAAAACGAUGUCAACUAGUUGUUGGGGAUUCAUUCCUUAGUAACGUAGCUAACGCGUGAAGUUGACCGCCUGGGGAGUACGGUCGCAAGAUUAAAACUCAAAGGAAUUGACGGGGUCAUAGCUGUUUCCU
rnacentral:rRNA from 1 species